ACAAGGGACUUGUAGGAUCAAAGAAAGACCUUAAAACAGAGGCGGCUGGGAGGGGCGAAAUUCAAAGCUAUGCCGUGGAUGAGUCGAUCGGUGGUGGAUGGAUCUGCGGUGGACGGUGGCUGAAGCGGGGCAGCCUUGUAUGGCGGCAAACUGACAGAGAAGAUGGGCUUGGUGGAACUGAACCUGCUACUAAUGUGCCGGUAUCAUCAUGUUAGUUGAAACACACAUUUUCUCUUUUGUUGUGGGAAGAGCAUUUGUAACAGAUAUUGAGAAGUUGAAAAUCAGCAGCAAAACAAGGUCUUUGGAUGUAGUUGAAGUGUUAAAGUUUUUUUUCUGAAGUCACAAAGGACGGAAUCAGUCCUAGUUCAAAUUUGUUAUCUGCGAUUGAGAUCCUUGUAUCUGGGGAAACUUCAUAUGAUAUUUUCAGGCUACUUGGUGUUUAGCCUUCGUUUAUUUAUGGUGAUGAAGAUGGAUGUAGAAGGGACUGAAUUUGAUUUGACUCCAAGGUUGUUUGAGACCAGGGCAAUUUGUUUGAUCAACGAGAUAUUUCUAUAAUCUCAUUACAAUAGGUGGCAGAAAUGUUGCCCUGAUGAGAGAAGUCCCAAGUAUGAGAAAACCUAUGGCUAAUGCUUGGAGCUUUUCACUUCUUUGAGGCAAAGUGGGGUUCUUGUUCAUCAGUGGUGGUAACAGCAACUACACACAUUCUCUUAUGAAAUCUUUUUUCUUUGUUUUUAACAGUUGAAAUGUUGUAGUUUUCUUGUUUUUUAGAUUUUGAUGUCAAGGGUUUUAGCUGAAAAUGAAAUUUUUUUUGUUCAUUGUUCUUCAAUUAUUUAAGGUGCUUAUAAUGUGAACACAAUUUGAAAGUGCUUUCUUCUUUGAUUGAGCUUUAGAUUUCCUUAUAA